UCGCCUGUUUUAUCAAAAACAUCUCGUCUUCAUAAAAUUAGACGUAGGCUCUGCUCAGUGAUUUAAAUAGCCGCAGUAUCUUGACUGUGCUAAGGUAGCAUAGUAACUUGUCUUAUAAUUGAGGGCUGGCAUGAAGGAGUUGAUGUUUUCUAUACUUUCUUAUUUUAAAAAAUUGAAUUUAAUCUGGGGGUUAAAAAGCCUCCAUUACUAAAGGGACGAUAAGACCCUAUAAAACUUUACUAAUAAAUUAAAUUUAUUAAGUUGAUUUUUUUUUGUUUAAGUUUAGUUUGGCUGGGGCGGCAUCUAUAACGCAAUAAGAGGUUAUAACAAUAUAUUUGGGUGUAAAGUUCUUUUUUCUUAAAGAUAGACUAAGUUACUUUAGGGAUAACAGCACAAUUUCCUUGUAUAGACCUUAUAAAUAAGGAAGACUUGUGACCUCGAUGUUGAAUUGAGGGGCUCACCUUAAGCAGAAAUAAGGGGGAGAGGUCUGUUCGACCUUUAAUACCUCACGUGAUCUGAGUUCAG
rnacentral:rRNA from 1 species